rnacentral:rRNA from 1 species
UACGAAGGGGGCAAGCGUUGUUCGGAAUUACUGGGCGUAAAGGGCGCGUAGGCGGCUUAUCAAGUCAGGCGUGAAAUUCCCGGGCUCAACCUGGGGGCUGCGCUUGAUACUGAUGAGCUUGAAUGCGGGAGAGGAUAGUGGAAUUCCCAGUGUAGAGGUGAAAUUCGUAGAUAUUGGGAAGAACACCAGUGGCGAAGGCGGCUAUGUGGCCCGUGAUUGACGCUGAGGCGCGAAAGCGUGGGGAGCAAACAGG